GAUGAAGAACUCAGCGAAAUGCGAUAAGUAGUGUGAAUUGCAGAAUUCAGUGAAUCAUCGAAUCUUUGAACGCACAUUGCGCCCCUUGGUAUUCCAUGGGGCAUGCCUGUUCGAGCGUCAUUUGUACCCUCAAGCUUUGCUUGGUGUUGGGCGUCUUGUCGUAUUACGACUCGCCUUAAAUACAUUGGCAGCCGGCACUUUGGCCUAGGAGCGCAGCACAUUUUGCGAUCGUAGCCCGUUGUACUGGCGUCCAUCAAGAACAUUUACCACGUUUGACCUCGGAUCAGGUAGGGAUACCCGCUGAACUUAAGCAUAUCAAUAAGCGGAGGA
rnacentral:misc_RNA from 1 species